GACGAACGCUGGCGGCGUGCUUAACACAUGCAAGUCGAGCGGUAAGGCCCUUCGGGGUACACGAGCGGCGAACGGGUGAGUAACACGUGGGUGAUCUGCCUCGCACUCUGGGAUAAGCCUGGGAAACUGGGUCUAAUACCGGAUAUGACCAYKRAUCGCAUGGUUGGUGGUGGAAAGAUUUAUCGGUGCGAGAUGGGCCCGCGGCCUAUCAGCUUGUUGGUGGGGUAAUGGCCUACCAAGGCGACGACGGGUAGCCGGCCUGAGAGGGCGACCGGCCACACUGGGACUGAGACACGGCCCAGACUCCUACGGGAGGCAGCAGUGGGGAAUAUUGCACAAUGGGCGGAAGCCUGAUGCAGCGACGCCGCGUGAGGGAUGACGGCCUUCGGGUUGUAAACCUCUUUCGACAGGGACGAAGCGCAAGUGACGGUACCUGUAGAAGAAGCACCGGCCAACUACGUG
rnacentral:rRNA from 1 species